UACGGAGGGUGCGAGCGUUGUCCGGAAUCACUGGGCGUAAAGGGCGCGUAGGCGGUGUGUCGCGUCGGCCGUGAAAGCCUGCAGCUUAACUGUGGGCUUGCGGUCGAUACGGGCAUCACUGGAGUUCGGCAGGGGAGACUGGAAUUCCUGGUGUAGCGGUGAAAUGCGCAGAUAUCAGGAGGAACACCGGUGGCGAAGGCGGGUCUCUGGGCCGAUACUGACGCUGAGGAGCGAAAGCGUGGGGAGCGAACAGG
rnacentral:rRNA from 1 species